GACAGCAGCAGCCACGGGAAUACGAGAGGGGCAAGCGUUAUUCGGAAUUACUGGGCGUAAAGCGCACGUAGGCGGCUUUGUAAGUAAGAGGUGAAAGCCCGGAGCUCAACUCCGGAACUGCCUUUUAGACUGCAUCGCUUGAAUCCAGGAGAGGUGAGAGGAAUUUCCGAUGUAGCGGUGAAAUGCGUAGAUAUCGGAAGGAACACCUGUGGCGAAAGCGGCUCACUGGACCAUUACUGACGCUGAUGCACGAAAGCUAGGGGAGCAAACGGGAUUAGAGACCCCUGUAGUCCCUGUCUCUUAUAC
rnacentral:rRNA from 1 species